rnacentral:rRNA from 1 species
CCUACGGGUGGCAGCAGUCGAGAAUCAUUCACAAUGGGGGAAACCCUGAUGGUGCGACGCCGCGUGGGGGAAUGAAGGUCUUCGGAUUGUAAACCCCUGUCAUGUGGGAGCAAAUUAAAAAGAUAGUACCACAAGAGGACGAGACGGCUAACUCUGUGCCAGCAGCAGCGGUAAUACAGAGGUCUCAAUCGUUGUUCGGAAUCACUGGGCGUAAAGCGUGCGUAGGCUGUUUCGUAAGUCGUGUGUGAAAGGCGAGGGCUCAACCCGCGGACGGCACAUGAUACUGCGAGACUAGAGUAAUGGAGGGGGAACCGGAAUUCGCGGUGUAGCAGUGAAAUGCGUAGAUAUCGAGAGGAACACUCGUGGCGAAGGCGGGUUCCUGGACAGUAACUGACGCUGAGGCACGAAGGCCAGGGGAGCGAAAGGGAUUAGAUACCCCAGUAGUC